UACGUAGGCAGCAAGCGUUGUUCGGAAUACUGGGCGUAAAGAGUGUGUAGGCGGUGCUCUAAGUUUGGUGUGAAAUCUCCCGGCUCAACUGGGAGGGUGCGCCGAAAACUGGAAUGCUUGAACAUGGGAGAGGAAAGCGGAAUUCCUGGUGUAGCGGUGAAAUGCGUAGAUAUCAGGAGGAACACCUGCGGUGUAGACGGCUUUCUGGACCAUUGUUGACGCUGAGACACGAAAGCGUGGGUAGCAAACAGG
rnacentral:rRNA from 1 species